rnacentral:rRNA from 1 species
GGACUACACGGGUUUCUAAUCCCGUUCGCUCCCCACGCUUUCGUGCCUUAGUGUCAGUAACGGGCCAGCAUCCUGCCUACGCCAUCGGUGUUCCUUCUAAUAUCUACGGAUUUCACUCCUACACUAGAAAUUCCAGAUGCCUCUCCCGCACUCAAGCUUAGCAGUUUAGAUAAUGGGCAUACGGUUGAGCCGUAUCAUUUCACUAUCUACUUACUAUGCCACCUACGCAACUCUUUACGCCCAGUAAUUCCGGAUAACGCUUGGACCCCACGUAUUACCGCGGCGGCUGGCAC